AAGAGAUUUGAAAUUCAAAAGUAAGCUUCUAACUUAACUUUUAAGCAGUGAAAUUCUGUUUACUCUCU
rnacentral:tRNA from 1 species